UACGAAGGGUGCAAGCGUUACUCGGAAUUACUGGGCGUAAAGCGUGCGUAGGUGGUUUGUUAAGUCUGAUGUGAAAGCCCCGGGCUCAACCUGGGAAUGGCAUUGGAUACUGGCGAGCUAGAGUGCGGUAGAGGGUAGUGGAAUUCCCGGUGUAGCAGUGAAAUGCGUAGAGAUCGGGAGGAACAUCUGUGGCGAAGGCGACUGCCUGGACCAGCACUGACACUGAGGCACGAAAGCGUGGGGAGCAAACAGG
rnacentral:rRNA from 1 species